GGGCGUAUGGUGUAGUUGGUUAUCACGCUCGCUUAGCAUCUUAUGUAAGCUUGCGAGAGGUGUCCGGUUCAAUUCCGGAUUCGUCCA